rnacentral:rRNA from 1 species
GCCCUUACGGGGGCASAGGCGCGAAACCUUUACACUGCGGGAAACCSGAUAAGGGGACACCGAGUGCCAGCAUACAAUGCUGCUGGUCCACAUGUGUAAAUAGCAUGUGAUAGCAAGGGCCGGGCAAGACCGGUGCCAGCCGCCGCGUAACACCGGCGCCCGAGUGGUAAUCACUAUUAUUGGGUCUAAAGGGUCCGUAGCCGGUUUAAUCGGUCUUCCGGGAAAUCUGACAGCUCAACUGUUAGGCUACCGGGGGAUACUGUUAGACUUGGGACCGGGAGAGGUAAGAGGUACUACAGGGGUAGGAGUGAAAUCUUGUAAUCCCUGUGGACCACCAGUGGCGAAGGCGUCUUACCAGAACGGGUCCGACGGUGAGGGACGAAAGCUGGGGGCACGAACCGGAUUAGAUACCCGGGUAGUCCCAGCCGUAAACGAUGCUCGCUAGUGUCUGGAAUGGUGCGACCGUUUCAGGUGCCGCAGGAAGCCGUGAAGCGAGCCACCUUGGAGUACGGCCG